rnacentral:rRNA from 1 species
UGAAAAAAAAGAGAGGACUU